UAGCUCAGCUGGGAGAGCGCCUGCCUUGCAAGCAGGAGGUCAGCGGUUCGAUCCCGC
rnacentral:tRNA from 1 species